rnacentral:tRNA from 1 species
GGAUUGUGGCUUAGUGGUGGAGCACUCGUCUCACAUGUGUGAGGCCCUGGGUUCGAUUCUCACCACCA